GGUGGGCACUUUUUGUACAAAUGAAUGACUAGCCAACUUGCUGUGUGACAACAAACAAACUCCUUUCCAUUUCUGGUCCGCGGUAUCCCCCCCUCCAUAAAAAGAAGGGUUUGACAGAAUCACGGGCUGAGAGGAGGGUCCAGGGAGAGGUCGAUUAAAAAGAAGAAUACCAGGGGCACCUGGGUGGCUCAGUCAGUUGAGCAUCUGACUUCGGCUCAGGUCAUGAUCUCAUGGUUUGUGAGUUCGAGCCCCGCGUCGGGCUCUGUGCUGACCGCUCAGAGCCUGGAGCCUGUUUCAGAUUCUGUCUCCCUCUCUCUCUGCCCCUCCCUCGCUCAUGCUCUGUCUCUCUGUCUCAA